ACAUGGGCGAGUGAAAAUUCGAAGAGAGAAAUUAGAACAUCAGGUCAUUGACCCACCCUGGAAAUACCCAGUGGAGUCCAAGGUCCUUCCUAGAGAGAUAAAUUGCAUAGAUAAAUAGAAAAAGAGAUGAAAAACCCCAGCCAAAUCCAGAUAGAUUGCUUUAUUUUGUUUGCCUAAGACCAAAGUGUUUCUCACUUUUUAAUUUAUGGUUUUGGUGUCUUACAAAGAAUCUGAAUAUCUGUCCAUGUGUCAUUGCCCUCUACUGGAUAAACUGGGUAAUGUCGCUUCACUCUUUUCCUGGUAUUAUAUCGAACAAUAGCUCCUACUUGCCUACAUGUGGUCUUAUCAUUUGUCAAAAUGUUCUUAGACAUAGAAUUUGAAUUCAUUCUGAUAAUAGGGCUUUGAAACGACUAAGCUAUUUUCGUUCCCAUUUUACAGAUGAAAAAACUGAGGCAGAGAGAAAUGUAUUCAUUGAACACACAUACUUCAAAGGAGCUAAAUGCAAAGAACUACGCCAGGCAAUUUACAAAGAUGAAUAAGAUGGAAUCUGAUCUCCAGGAGCUUAUGAUAUAUUGCAGGUUCAGGACUCCUUCCAUUGAAUUUCAGUGGUUCCCAGAAAGAUGUGUGGACUCUUCUUCAUCAUAACAACCACAGUGAUAAUGAAAAUAAGUACCUGAGUCUGAAUCACAAGGUUGCUAUUAGAGGUGCUGAUUUUCGGUAAGUUGAUUCAUUUCACACUCAGUUACUUCAUCUAUAAAGUAAGAUAGUAAUAGCCUCAUUCCUGGACCUGACCCUCUACUUUGUACCCUAAGACUGAUAUUUCUUCAUGAAUUCUGUUGGAGGUCCUAUAACACCGCAAUACCAACAGGCAGAAUCAGAAGCUAACUGUUGGUCUCUUACACACUUGGUUUAAGUCACUCUGAUCCUGUUUUAUUUCCAUUUUUCUCUCUCUGCAAAUUCAUGAGUUUCUUGAAAGCAGGGUCCAGUUCUUCCACACCCAUAUUCCUCAAGUGCUUUAGCCUAGACGUGAUGUGCAUGCUGAAUUCGUUACAAGUAGCCAGA
rnacentral:lncRNA from 1 species